GAUGAACGCUGGCGGCGUGCCUAAUACAUGCAAGUCGAGCGAAUGGAUUAAGAGCUUGCUCUUAUGAAGUUAGCGGCGGACGGGUGAGUAACACGUGGGUAACCUGCCCAUAAGACUGAGAUAACCCCGGGAAACCGGGGCUGAUACCGGAUAACAUUUUGAACCGCAUGGUUCGACAUUGAAGGGAGGCUUCGGCUGUCACUCAUGGAUGUACGCGCGUCGCAUUAGCUAGUUGGUGAGGUAACGGCUCACCAAGGCAACGAUGCGUAGCCGACCUGAGAGGGUGAUCGGCCACACUGGGACUGAGACACGGCCCAGACUCCUACGGGAGGCAGCAGUAGGGAAUCUUCCGCAAUGGACGAAAGUCUGACGGAGCAACGCCGCGUGAGUGAUGAAGGCUUUCGGGUCGUAAAACUCUGUUGUUAGGGAAGAACAAGUGCUAGUUGAAUAAGCUGGCACCUUGACGGUACCUAACCAGAAAGCCACGGCUAACUACGUGCCAGCAGCCGCGGUAA
rnacentral:rRNA from 1 species